ACCUGGAAACAAAGUGGGUAUCAUCAGGACAAAAUGCUACAUUUAAUACCCAGGAUCCAUGACCGCUCAAUGUGCCAGCCAAGUUGGCAUGCUGUCUGUAGAAAGAACAAAUUUAGAAAACAGAAUUAUAACAUCAAUAUUUGCCUUCUUUCCCUCCAGGGAAAAAGCGAUCAGCUCAUACUGUGCUGUUACUGUACUCCCAACAGUUCAACAGAAAGAUUACAGAGGGUGACUUCUGGACAUUUUUUCAUCCAAGCAGAAUGGUGUUGAAAUAACUUUUUUUUUUUUUUUCCAUUUCAAGAGUUAAAAAGAGGCCACUAAAAAGAUGCAUAGGUGGAAGAAGCAGUUGGACCUGAAAAACUUCUAUGAAGAAGGCACAGUAAUGCAAGCGUAGGGGAGCGAAGAUCACUGAGGUGGUUGGCAUAGUGCAAGAGAAAAAGAUCUUGGUUUUAGAAGCUCCUCCUGUAACGACAGGUUUAGAAUUAAGACUGAGUGAAGUCUGAAUUCUUUUCUCCUCGUGACAGAAGAUACUAAGCCAGUGAAAGAAAGAAAUGCUAGCAGUUAGCAAAGCACUGAAGACACAGGAGAAAGAUGCAGAUAAAAGAAUGUAACAUGGAUCAACAUGCCUUGUGAGUGAAUUAAAAAACCUUCUGAGAGUUAGAACAAGGUGGAUUCCAUUUUGCUUUAUGUACCUGUAUGGGAACUGCUGAGUCCCAGCCUGCCCCACUGAUGGAGACCUGUGGGAAGGACCCGGUCAGCCCUGGGAGCACAGGUGAAGGCAAUGCAGCUGUGUGAGCAGGAGUGGAGCCUGGCUGCACCUCUCUCAGACCCCAUUGAAGGGCUGACUGCCACUGGGGAAGGAUCUCUUCCUGGAGAUCCUCCUUGGUGGAGCUUUUCCCUGUGAACCUGGAGUCUUCUGAUACAAGUGAGCAAUCUUCCCUUCCUUUAUAGCACCUUUCUAUUGUGCCAAUCCUUUUGUCAUUACCCCUCUGGUAAACCAGCUUUUCCCAUCAUAUUGAUUGGUCCAAUUGUUACAGUAUCUACCAAAAAGUGUAUCAAGUGUAAGCAUUAAUAGUGUGUAAAUGUGAAA